rnacentral:rRNA from 1 species
UACGUAGGGGGCAAGCGUUGUCCGGAGUUACUGGGCGUAAAGCGCACGUAGGCGGCUUUGUAAGUUAGAGGUGAAAGCCCAGGGCUUAACCCUGGAAUUGCCUUUAAGACUGCAUCGCUAGAAUCGUGGAGAGGUGAGUGGAAUUCCGAGUGUAGAGGUGAAAUUCGUAGAUAUUCGGAAGAACACCAGUGGCGAAGGCGACUCACUGGACACGUAUUGACGCUGAGGUGCGAAAGCGUGGGGAGCAAACAGG